rnacentral:tRNA from 1 species
AGACGAAAAUAAAACACCUUGGUUUCGGCCCAUUGACAGAGAAUAAAUUCUCUUCGUCUU